rnacentral:rRNA from 1 species
UACAGAGGUCCCAAGCGUUGUUCGGAUUCACUGGGCGUAAAGGGUGCGUAGGCGGCCGGGUAAGUCUGAUGUGAAAUCUCACAGCUUAACUGUGAAACUGCAUUGGAUACUAUCCGGCUCGAGGAAUGGAGGGGAGACUGGAAUACUUGGUGUAGCAGUGAAAUGCGUAGAGAUCAUGAGGAAGACCAGUGGCGAAGGCGGGUCUCUGGACAGUUCCUGACACUGAGGCACGAAGGCCAGGGGAGCAAACGGG